rnacentral:rRNA from 1 species
GUGGGGAAUAUUGGACAAUGGGCGCAAGCCUGAUCCAGCAAUGCCGCGUGGGUGAAGAAGGUCUUCGGAUCGUAAAGCCCUUUCGACAGGGACGAUGAUGACGGUACCUGUAGAAGAAGCCCCGGCUAACUUCGUGCCAGCAGCCGCGGUAAUACGAAGGGGGCUAGCGUUACUCGGAAUUACUGGGCGUAAAGGGAGCGUAGGCGGCUCUGUUAGUCAGGCGUGAAAUUCCUGGGCUUGACCUGGGGACUGCGCGUGAUACUGCAGGGCUUGAGGCCGAGAGAGGGUGGUGGAAUUCCCAGUGUAGAGGUGAAAUUCGUAGAUAUUGGGAAGAACACCGGUGGCGAAGGCGACCACCUGGCUCGGUUCUGACGCUGAGGCGCGACAGCGUGGGGAGCAAACAGGAUUAGAUACCCUGGUAGUCC